rnacentral:sRNA from 1 species
CCCUAGAGAACGUCUUAUCUCUCAUGGCAGGCGAGAGUCACGUGUCAUGAAAGCGUCUUCAGCGGUUGUCUUGGCAACGAAACAUGGCACAACUAGGCCCUUGUGCUAAAUAUGGAAACAUGCGUUGACCUACUGCUGCUCAUCUUAGGUUGCUUUCUUAUGCCGUUGUGUCGGUGUGACCACAUUCCAUUUUGUCCAGUCGUUUUAGAGGGCCAGCCAUUCUCAUGGUCUUGCAAUGUACCCAGUGAUACCAAGUUCGUCAUCUGGAAUCUAAAUUCUUCAGGCCAAGUGAAAGCGAUCAGCCGAUGUAGUGUGGUCGCGAACAGAGAUUGUGAGACAGAUCUGUACGGAUGGGCGAU